CCUCUCUGUUGACGAGGACGAAAAUUCUGCAACAUUGCAGCUUCACAAGAAAAACGUCUGGGUUAAAUAACUCAAGAUGCUGAUAUACCAUCCCUCUUCAACAAUUCCUGGAAAAGCAGACACCAAAAGGUUUAGUUCAUAGCCAUUGCAGCAAAUUUUUCUCAUCUUCAAAUUGAAAUAUAAUGUACCAGUUUGGUUGCAGUAAUUGACAGACGUUGCCUUUCUCUUUUCUCACGUCGGCACUCUCCACACCAGCUGGAGAAAUCCUUUUGAUAUUUCUUCAGCUCUCGGAAGACUGAACUGAAAGGGAGGAAAAUAUUGCACUCAAUACCAUUAUUGAUCGUUAAAAACAGCAAAUUGGCAAACUCCUCCCGACUCAUUUUGCCUAAGAACCAAGCCCUCUAAUUGUAAGAAGAGAAAUGCAAGUUUUCUUGAUACCAAGCAUGCAUAGUAUGCCAUGGCAAAUAAAAUUUCUUCUUUUACACCGCUGCUUAUCUACAACAAAAGCAGUGCGUCAAUCUCCAAAACUCCAUCUAUUGUCUUUCAACUUCUAUAAAAAAAUAAAGAAAAAUCUACUUCUGUAGUAUUUCUUUCAACUCUCAGAUUACUCAAAUCUUGAGAAUUAGCCAGCAUUAUGAUCAUUUCAGUCAACCAACUGAACUAGGAGAAAAUUUUAAACAAAACUUAUUUCCAAGCACAUGAAAUUUGAGUUUCAUUUAUUAAGCUUCUAUUAUUUAAUUGUGUGCUACUGAGCUCACAAACUUUCCAAUUUAAGCACCUCAGGGACUUCCUUAACAGCAGAAUUUUUUUUUUUAAAAAAACGAAGAGCUUAUUCACUAUAAUCAAUUUUUGCAAAGAGACGUAAUUAGUUUCAUUAAAUUAUCAGUGACCAAACAAAAUAACAAAAUUUUGCAUACUAAAUGCAUUGGAAAACUCUCAAUUAUUGUUUGAACUAUCUCUCUUCCUUCUCUCUAUCCCACACCAUCAUGUCCUUACCUUCCAUCCAAGCCAAGAAUUACC
rnacentral:misc_RNA from 1 species